UACGAAGGGGGCUAGCGUUGCUCGGAAUCACUGGGCGUAAAGCGCACGUAGGCGGAUUGCUAAGUCAGGGGUGAAAUCCUGGAGCUCAACUCCAGAACUGCCUUUGAUACUGGCGAUCUCGAGUCCGGGAGAGGUGAGUGGAACUGCGAGUGUAGAGGUGAAAUUCGUAGAUAUUCGCAAGAACGCCAGUGGCGAAGGCGGCUCACUGGCCCGGUACUGACGCUGAGGUGCGAAAGCGUGGGGAGCAAACAGG
rnacentral:rRNA from 1 species